rnacentral:rRNA from 1 species
UACGUAGGGGGCAAGCGUUGUCCGGAUUUAUUGGGCGUAAAGAGCGUGUAGGCGGUUUUACAGGUCCGCUGUGAAAACUCGAGGCUCAACCUCGAGCUGUCGGUGGAAACCGUGUGGCUAGAGUCCGGAAGAGGAGAGUGGAAUUCCUGGUGUAGCGGUGAAAUGCGCAGAUAUCAGGAAGAACACCAAUGGCGAAGGCAGCUCUCUGGGACGGCACUGACGCUGAGACGCGAAAGCGUGGGGAGCGAACAGG